UACGUAGGGUGCAAGCGUUAAUCGGAAUUACUGGGCGUAAAGUGUGCGCAGGCGGCAGAGCAAGUCGAGUGUGAAAGCCCCGAGCUUAACUUGGGAAUUGCGCUCGAAACUACUUUGCUGGAGUGUGGCAGGGGAAGGUGGAAUUCCAGGUGUAGCGGUGAAAUGCGUAGAGAUCUGGAGGAACACCGAUGGCGAAGGCAGCCUUCUGGGCCAACACUGACGCUCAUGCACGAAAGCGUGGGGAGCAAACAGG
rnacentral:rRNA from 1 species